ACAUCAACUCUAGUUCCUGCGGCGCGUUACUCUUGAGUAGACCGGGUGUUGCGUCUCGUCUCCCUGUCAAGUCUGGACUGCAUUUCAGAUCCACCACGACCAACCUUGCUUUGUUUCCUUGCCUUGUCUUGUUAUCCCUGCCUUGGACUUUGAACCUGGAACUCUUGUGAAAGACCUUGCUUUAUUCCCCACUCAAACUACUUGGAAAUUUGAGUGUGUUUCGGUUAUUGGAUUUGAAAACUUGAACUCUAAUACUGGACAUUAAACUUUAUAUUACUGGACUAUUGUCACGACCCAGGCUGCAGAGCACCAAUAACCAUACACAGAGGCCAGAAUCUAUCUAAUAUCUUUAUUAAGGGAAUAUAUAAAGUUAAUAAAAGCAAGUGUAGGAAAUAGUUCAGAAGUAGACCUUUCAGGGAAGGUCAAAAUUAGUCCAAAGAAACAAUGUCCAAUAUGAAAUAUUAAGGUCCAAAGUUGUAAUCCAAUAACCGAAACACUCACUUUGCCAAGCAAAGUGAGGGGAGAUGACAAGGUCCUUUAGUCCAUGAAACUUGAGCAAGGCUAGGAAGUAACUUGAUUCUUGGAACACAAGGCUUGAAACAAGGCAACAAGAAACGAGGAGCAAGAACAAGAUCCGUGGUAAUUACUUGGCAAGGCUAGGAAGUAACUUGAUUCUUGGAACACAAGGCUUGAAACAAGGCAACAAGAAACGAGGAGCAAGAACAAGAUCCGUGGUAAUUACUUGGCAAGGUCCGGGAAGGGAGCGGAGGCUUGGAAACAGGAACGAGGCUUGGAAACAGGAACGAGGCUUGGAAGCGGGAGUAGCGCUGUCCACACACACUACUCCAGUAGCUGACGAAUUGACUCCGCAAGAUUCCUAAAGGGCAAGGAACCUAAAUAGGUUCUCGUUUUCCCACCAAAGAACACUUCUCUGGGGAAUCAGAACCGAAAGUCAAUCUCUGUGCCCAGAUGUAUGACUCCCUAAAAUUUCUCAUGGAAGCAGGCUUAAUCAUCUGAAUGCUUUGCUGCGAUUCUCAGGCUUCUGCGAUUAGCCUGCUGAACUCCUUUUUGUUGCUG
rnacentral:lncRNA from 1 species